UUGUCCUACGGGAGGCAGCAGUGGGGGAUAUUGGACAAUGGGGGAAACCCUGAUCCAGCGACGCCGCGUGAGUGAAGAAGUAUUUCGGUAUGUAAAGCUCUGUCAGCAGGGAAGAAAGAAAUGACGGUACCUCUUGAAUAAGCCACGGCUAACUACGUGCCAGCAGCCGCGGUAAUACGUAGGUGGCAAGCGUUGUCCGGAUUUACUGGGUGUAAAGGGCGUGCAGCCGGGCUGACAAGUCAGAUGUGAAAUCCCGCGGCUCAACCGCGGAACUGCAUUUGAAACUGUCAGUCUUGAGUACCGGG
rnacentral:rRNA from 1 species